CCUACGGGAGGCAGUAGUGAGGAAUAUUGGUCAAUGGCCGCGAGCCUGAACCAGCCAAGUAGCGUGAAGGAUGAAUGCCCUAUGGGUUGUAAACUUCUUUUAUAAAGGAAUAAAGUGAGGCACGUGUGCCUCUUUGCAUGUACCCUAUGAAUAAGGAUCGGCUAACUCCGUGCCAGCAGCCGCGGUAAUACGGAGGAUCCGAGCGUUAUCCGGAUUUAUUGGGUUUAAAGGGAGCGUAGAUGGUUUGUUAAGUCAGUUGUGAAAGUUUGUGGCUCAACCAUAAAAUUGCAGUUGAUACUGGAAGACUUGAGUGUGGUUGAGGUAGGCGGAAUGCGUGGUGUAGCGGUGAAAUGCAUAGAUAUCACGAAGAACUCCGAUUGCGAAGGCAGCUUACUAAGCUACAACUGACACUGAAGCACGAAAGUGUGGGGAUCAAACAGGAUUAGAUACCCUGGUAGUC
rnacentral:rRNA from 1 species